UACAGGGGGUGCAAACGUUGCUCGGAACCAUUGGGCGUAAAGCGCACGUAGGCGGUUCGUUAUGUCGGAUGUGAAAGCCCUUGGCUUAACCGAGGAAGUGCAUCCGAAACUGGCGAGCUAGAGUACGAAAGAGGAUCGCGGAAUUCCCGGUGUAGAGGUGAAGUUCGUAGAUAUUGGGAAGAACACCGGCGGCGAAGGCGGCGACCUGGUCCUUGACUGACGCUGAGGCGCGAAAGCGUGGGGAGCAAACAGG
rnacentral:rRNA from 1 species